AACGCAACGCAACGCAACGCAACGCAACGCAACGCAACGCAACGCAACGCAGUUUCUAGAGGUCUAGAACCUGGAUAUUUUCACUCUGAUCCACAAAGCACCCCUCCCUCAUUCAACAGAUCUUAAUGAGAAAGAUGUCUUUUAUGAUAACCAAAUUGAACGUGCGUGCAGUCUUAUAGAAGCUUCCAGGAGCUCUGACUGCACACUUUGUACCAUCGGGAGCUGUGUGGCCAGGACAGCUCAACCAUGCCAGCAUAAACCAGCAGCUUCAAACUCCACCCUGUUUCCAGGACGUGGAUUUCUGCAUUGUGACUGCCGUGCUGGACGCUGCACUGAAUGCGUUAGUAAACUUGCUCGUGGUUCUGUGACAGAAACUACUAAUUAAACCUGAGUUGCUGUAA